rnacentral:rRNA from 1 species
AUUGAACGCUGGCGGCAGGCCUAACACAUGCAAGUCGAACGAGUGGCGGACGGGUGAGUAAUGUCUGGGAAACUGCCUGAUGGAGGGGGAUAACUACUGGAAACGGUAGCUAAUACCGCAUACCAUCGGAUGUGCCCAGAUGGGAUUAGCUAGUAGGUGGGGUAAAGGCUCACCUAGGCGACGAUCCCUAGCUGGUCUGAGAGGAUGACCAGCCAAACUGGAACUGAGACACGGUCCAGACUCCUACGGGAGGCAGCAGUGGGGAAUAUUGCACAAUGUGCGCAAGCCUGAUACAGCCAGGCCGCGUGUAUGAAGAAGGCCUUCGGGUUGUAAAGUACUUUCAGCGGGGAGGCGGUACCCGAAGAAGAAGCACCGGCUAACUACGUGCCAGCAGCCGCGGUAAUAC